GACGGACGCUGGCGGCGUGCUUAACACAUGCAAGUGGUGCGACGAACCAGGCUUCGGCCUGGGGCAGAGCCGCGAACGGGUGAGUAACACGUGGGCAACCUGCCCUGUUGAUCGGGACAACCCGGGGAAACCCGGGCUAAUACCGAAUGUGGUGCCGGCUCAUGAGAGCCGUCACGAAAGGAAGCUUCGGCCUCCGCGACAGGAUGGGCCCGCGGCCCAUUAGCUUGUUGGUGGGGUAAUGGCCUACCAAGGCAACGAUGGGUAGCUGGUCUGAGAGGACGAUCAGCCACACUGGGACUGAGACACGGCCCAGACUCCUACGGGAGUCAGCAGUGGGGAAUCUUGCGCAAUGCGCGAAAGCGUGACGCAGCAACACCGCGUGAGGGAAGACGGCCUUAGGGUUGUAAACCUCUUUCAGUUGGGACGAAGGUUCGACGGUGAAUAGCCGGCCGGACUGACGGUACCUUCGGAAGAAGUUCCGGCUAACUACGUGCCAGCAGCCGCCGUAA
rnacentral:rRNA from 1 species